AGCGAACGCUGGCGGCAGGCCUAACACAUGCAAGUCGAACGAAGUCUUCGGACUUAGUGGCGGACGGGUGAGUAACACGUGGGAACGUGCCUUUAGGUUCGGAAUAACUCAGGGAAACUUGUGCUAAUACCGAAUGUGCCCUUCGGGGGAAAGAUCUAUCGCCAUUGGAGCGGCCCGCGUCUGAUUAGCUAGUUGGUGAGGUAAAGGCUCACCAAGGCGACGAUCAGUAGCUGGUCUGAGAGGAUGAUCAGCCACAUUGGGACUGAGACACGGCCCAAACUCCUACGGGAGGCAGCAGUGGGGAAUCUUGCGCAAUGGGCGAAAGCUUGACGCAGCCAUGCCGCGUGAAUGAUGAAGGUCUUAGGAUUGUAAAAUUCUUUCACCGGGGACGAUAAUGACGGUACCCGGACAAGAAGCCCCGGCUAACUUCGUGCCAGCCGCCGCCGUAACAC
rnacentral:rRNA from 1 species